rnacentral:misc_RNA from 1 species
CUUUUGAUUAUGGUUUUAAGUGGAUGGAAGGUGAUAUUUGCUAGUUAGUAUCAUGAGGUCAGUUUUGCAGGCAAUUUAGGGUGAAUAUUGGGUAUCAGUUUUAUGGAUCUUAGAGCUUCGAUUGGCUAGAAUCCACAGUCUUAGAGAGCAUCGGAAGAAUGAUUAUUCAGUAGAGAUAAAGGUGUGACAUCAUUAUUUUUAAUGACAAAUGAUUGUGAAGGGUUACCAUUUAUGCAGUACAAAAUCACCUUCACAGUAACAUUAUCAGGUCA